ensembl:lncRNA
GGACCCUUUGCUGCUCUUUCCCUCCCUCUAAUGAGACUAAUGCCGUGAUCAAAACAACAGGGAACUUAGAACUCCGGACUUCCGACUUCAGUGCGUUCAAGACAUCUGGGAACUCGGAAUAAAACGAUGUCCGACUGGGAAAAAUCGCUUUGAUUUGCCUUGUUAUUCCAGAGUUCCCAGUUGUUUUGAAAGCACCAUGAACAUCAGAUGAAGCAUAUCAACUUGAAGUUACUCCCAGACUUACAAGUCUGCUCAGGAAUGGAUGGUGUGCUUCACCUCGCUUGCUGAUUCAUAUUUUGAUGAUACUUUCGAGGGAGACAAGGAAGAGAGGUUACAAAAUGAAGACUUUCAUUCUUUUAUAUUUUCUAGGACUAACUUGCAACAAGGUUGGUCAAGAUUUCAGCUAUAUGUUUGUAGCAAACCAAAUACUUAAUUACAAACUUGAAAAUUGGCCCGAUUCCAUAAUAAUUGUAUAAUGUAUCUUUCUGGUUUGUUCCUGCUGCACAUAUGUGCUUGAGUAAUAAUGGGAUGUGUUUUUGUUGCUGUUGCUCAGGUCUCUGCAAAUGGCAACUCAACAAAAGUCUACUAUAUGGUACUGAGGACUGAGGCGUCCAUACCGGACAACCGUAUUAAUGCUAUACUCAAAUCUUUUAAAAUGGACAAUCCUGUGAGUGUUGACACCCUUAACGUCACAACAGAUUGUGUCCCUCUUCAAAACAAAACUCAGUGCAAAUGCACACCAGGGCAUAUCUGGAGUGUUGCAGUGUGUCAGUCUUCACCUAACUGUUGUAAACAAAAAAACUGCACAUUUGAAACCACAGAAACAAAACCAAUGUGUCUCCCUGAAACAAGUGUGUGUGUGUGUGUGUGUGU